rnacentral:rRNA from 1 species
GUGGGGAAUCUUGCGCAAUGGGCGAAAGCCUGACGCAGCCAUGCCGCGUGAAUGAUGAAGGUCUUAGGAUUGUAAAAUUCUUUCACCGGGGACGAUAAUGACGGUACCCGGAGAAGAAGCUCCGGCUAACUUCGUGCCAGCAGCCGCGGUAAUACGAAGGGGGCUAGCGUUGCUCGGAAUUACUGGGCGUAAAGGGCGCGUAGGCGGACAGCUUAGUCAGAGGUGAAAGCCCAGGGCUCAACCUUGGUAUUGCCUUUGAUACUGGCUGUCUUGAGUUUGGGAGAGGUGAGUGGAACUCCGAGUGUAGAGGUGAAAUUCGUAGAUAUUCGGAAGAACACCAGUGGCGAAGGCGACUCACUGGCCCAAUACUGACGCUGAGGCGCGAAAGCGUGGGGAGCAAACAGGAUUAGAUACCCUUGUAGUCC